UACGUAGGGUGCAAGCGUUGUCCGGAAUUAUUGGGCGUAAAGAGCUCGUAGGCGGUCUGUCGCGUCUGCUGUGAAAACCUAGGGCUUAACUCUGGGCGUGCAGUGGGUACGGGCAGGCUAGAGUGCGGUAGGGGAGACUGGAAUUCCUGGUGUAGCGGUGAAAUGCGCAGAUAUCAGGAGGAACACCGGCGGCGAAGGCGGGUCUCUGGGCAGUAACUGACGCUGAGGAGCGAAAGCGUGGGGAGCGAACAGG
rnacentral:rRNA from 1 species